AGGAGAUACAAUACCACUAAAUUUUAAUCUAUUAUAUCUGUAUUAUAACAAAGUAACUGAAACUCAGAUGUUAUUUUUUUGAUACCACUACCUAUAUUUGCCUUAUCUAGGAUAUGCCCGCCAAAUCUCCUUGAUUCUUCUUUAAAAGACAGUAACAUCUCUCUUAUCAUAUCCAACUUAGCAUCAGUUUUACAUGCUAAACUCUUUAUGUACUUAUGCAUUAAGGGGACUCCAACUUUAAUUGCGUCUCAAAUGCUUAAUUAAAACAGCUGAUGUUUUUCUUCUUUCUGAAAUUUUUUCAAUAUUCAGGAAAAACAAAGA
rnacentral:lncRNA from 1 species